rnacentral:sRNA from 1 species
UGGUUGGCAGGUUCCUUACUCCUCCUCCCAAAGGGGCCUGCAUGGUCAUCAGCUAUCCUCCUCCCAGCUGAUGAUCGGUUAUUUGGAAAAGCCUGCCGCACCUCCUCCCGCGGCAGGCUUUUUCG